ACAAAAUGUUCAGUAUAAGAAAUUACUUUUAAUAAUUACGUCAAAACAUGCAGUAGGUGGACUUUUGAGCUAACCCUGGAGAAGGAGCUGGAUUUCACCAGUUAGCCUCCUAUGGAUCUGCUACCAUCAUCACCCUCCCACCCCACCUCCACUGCCUUUUUUCCCAAGACUUUUAAAAAAAUGUUUUAUUGCCCAGGCACAGCACUUUGGGAGGCUGAGGCGGGCGUGAGAUUGGGAGUUUGAGACCAGCCUGACCAACAUGGAGAAACCGCAUCUCUACUAAAAAUACAAAAUUAGCCUGGCGUGGUGGCGCAUGCCUGUAAUCCCAGCUACUCUGGAGGCUGAGGCAGGAGAACCGCUUGAAUCCGGGAGGCGAAGGUCACGAGUGGUAUUCAGUUAAGAGAACAAUUAUUUCGUAUAAGCCACAUCAGAGACGACUGAAGAUGAAAAAACUACCAUCCCCGUAUAUAACUAAUUUGUGCUGUGCACCAACAAGAACCUGCUUUAAAUUUCCAUGGCAAUUUACAACCCCCAUACUGUACCAGGCAAGGUUAG
rnacentral:lncRNA from 1 species